AAAUUUCUGUCACUAGGGCAAGGGACAAGUUAUCCAAAAGUUGAUGCAUUCCCAUAACUUUGUCAGAGGAGUUUCAUGAUUUUCCUCUUCAACUUUGUCUUGGUUUGAUGGAGGUGGUUCACCAAACUUCACCUCUAAUGCUUCUGGAUUUGAAGAAUGUGAAGCUGAUGCCACUGCUUUCAACUGUUGUUCCUCUAUGGAACCAUUAUCAAUGCUAUUAACAUCAGCGCUGUUGAAUCCCUGAAAUUUUUUAUAUCAACCACGCAUGUUCGUGACUCUGAAAAUGGUUUGAAAUAUCCUCAAACUCUCUCUACAAAAAAAAUAGAGUUACCAGUAGAGAAGAAAAUUAAAACUGAACAUCUUGAUACAGGAAAGAAGAGCAGAAAUAUACCUGAAUAUGAGGCACUGGGCUU
rnacentral:lncRNA from 1 species